rnacentral:hammerhead_ribozyme from 1 species
AUCUAACUGACGAAUCUCAAAUAGAACGAAACGCACGUCAUGUAU